AUGGCGGGGUGCGCGGUGCCGCUGUUCCGGCCCUACGUGGCGCGGCUGCCCUGGCACGGCGGCACGCGGGCCUGGCUCUCCAAGCUCUUCCCGCGCUACGGCCACUACUGCGGGCCCAACUGGUCCAGCGGCAAGGAGGCCGGCUCCGUGCUCUGGGACCGCCGCCCCGCCGACCACCUCGACUUCUGCUGCUACUGCCACGACAUGGCCUACGACACCCAUGACCAGGCGCAGCUCCUCCGCGCCGACCUCGCCUUCCUCAGCUGCCUCGAGGGCAGCCGCAAGACGCCCGCGCUCGACGGCGUCGCCGCCGCCGCCAUCUACCGCUCCAUGUGCAUCUUCGGGCUCAAGACCAUACUGAUACCGUACAGGACCAACCUGGUGAGGCUGCAAACCGGGCCGAAUUACGCCGACGCAUUCGCCGAUUUCAUGAAGAGGAUGGCCUCGUCUUCCGGCAGGGCGACGACGGGCGGCGAGAAGCAAAGAUUUUUGAGGGGCAAACGUGUUGCCGACGAUCGAAGUGAUCCCAGAAAAUGCUGA
rnacentral:rRNA from 1 species